UGUACCAUGUACGUUCUGCGACGUUACCAAGUAAAACACGACAAUUUACUCAGUAAUUAAGCUGAAACUGUACUGUAAAAGGAAGCCUUGUUUGUUUCCAUGGUAUUACCAGGUUCUUACCAUAUAAUUUGUAAUACAUUCCCUUUUCCAUGCAGUCAACACAAACUUGAACCAUGUACGUUCUGCGACGUUACCAAGUAAAACACACCAAUUUACCCAGUAAGUAAGCUGAAACUGUACUGUAAAAGGAAGCCUUGUUUGUUUCCAUGGUAUUACCAGGCUCUUACCAUAUAAGUUGUAAUUGGUUAUUCCCUUUUCCAUGCAAUCAACACAAACCAUAUAUGUUCUGCAACAUCGUUCACCAGUAGUUAAGCACUUUAAUUGUUGUUAUAAAACCCCAAACCACUGUUGAUGAAAGGCAUAUUAAAAUUAAACAAAAUCAAAGGCUUAUCUUUCAAACAAUGCAUAUCUCACAAACAGGCACUGAACACUGAAGAAAUCGGACAAAAAAAAGAGCCGUCAAUUUGAAUGUUACUGAUGGUGCUUUCAUAAAACACAUGACAGUGUUAUGGCAAGUGACCACAAGGAAGACUGCUUCAACCUCUUCAAUUUGAAUAAGUGGUGAAUGCCAUGCAGCAAUCUGCCUAUGGGAGCAUCUUUCUCUUUAAUGUCUUCUCUGUGAGGUAUCCCUGCAGUCUCCACAUCUGGGAUUUGAA